rnacentral:rRNA from 1 species
UGCCUAAUACAUGCAAGUCGAGCGAACAGACAAGGAGCUUGCUCCUUUGACGUUAGCGGCGGACGGGUGAGUAACACGUGGGUAACCUACCUAUAAGACUGGGAUAACUUCGGGAAACCGGAGCUAAUACCGGAUAAUAUUUCGAACCGCAUGGUUCGAUAGUGAAAGAUGGUUUUGCUAUCACUUAUAGAUGGACCCGCGCCGUAUUAGCUAGUUGGUAAGGUAACGGCUUACCAAGGCGACGAUACGUAGCCGACCUGAGAGGGUGAUCGGCCACACUGGAACUGAGACACGGUCCAGACUCCUACGGGAGGCAGCAGUAGGGAAUCUUCCGCAAUGGGCGAAAGCCUGACGGAGCAACGCCGCGUGAGUGAUGAAGGUCUUCGGAUCGUAAAACUCUGUUAUUAGGGAAGAACAUACGUGUAAGUAACUAUGCACGUCUUGACGGUACCUAAUCAGAAAGCCACGGCUAACUACGUGCCAGCAGCCGCGGUAAUACGUAGGUGGCAAGCGUUAUCCGGAAUUAUUGGGCGUAAAGCGCGCGUAGGCGGUUUUUUAAGUCUGAUGUGAAAGCCCACGGCUCAACCGUGGAGGGUCAUUGGAAACUGGAAAACUUGAGUGCAGAAGAGGAAAGUGGAAUUCCAUGUGUAGCGGUGAAAUGCGCAGAGAUAUGGAGGAACACCAGUGGCGAAGGCGACUUUCUGGUCUGUAACUGACGCUGAUGUGCGAAAGCGUGGGGAUCAAACAGGAUUAGAUACCCUGGUAGUCCACGCCGUAAACGAUGAGUGCUAAGUGUUAGGGGGUUUCCGCCCCUUAGUGCUGCAGCUAACGCAUUAAGCACUCCGCCUGGGGAGUACGACCGCAAGGUUGAAACUCAAAGGAAUUGACGGGGACCCGCACAAGCGGUGGAGCAUGUGGUUUAAUUCGAAGCAACGCGAAGAACCUUACCAAAUCUUGACAUCCUUUGACAACUCUAGAGAUAGAGCCUUCCCCUUCGGGGGACAAAGUGACAGGUGGUGCAUGGUUGUCGUCAGCUCGUGUCGUGAGAUGUUGGGUUAAGUCCCGCAACGAGCGCAACCCUUAAGCUUAGUUGCCAUCAUUAAGUUGGGCACUCUAAGUUGACUGCCGGUGACAAACCGGAGGAAGGUGGGGAUGACGUCAAAUCAUCAUGCCCCUUAUGAUUUGGGCUACACACGUGCUACAAUGGACAAUACAAAGGGCAGCGAAACCGCGAGGUCAAGCAAAUCCCAUAAAGUUGUUCUCAGUUCGGAUUGUAGUCUGCAACUCGACUACAUGAAGCUGGAAUCGCUAGUAAUCGUAGAUCAGCAUGCUACGGUGAAUACGUUCCCGGGUCUUGUACACACCGCCCGUCACACCACGAGAGUUUGUAACACCCGAAGCCGGUGGAGUAACCAUUUGGAGCUAGCCGUCGAAGGUG